UGAUUUGUGUCAAAAUGACAUUCCAAUGUGGCUGACAAGCACGGGACCCAGAGCUAUUCGAGCGCCAUAUUGGAACGAUGUGGCUAUAUAAGACCUGUAGCUUAAGGUCUGAAGGCAGUCUACGCUGAAAUUUUGGAAGAAAUAGUGCAAGUGUUAUAGUGUUUCGUGGUGGUUAGAAAAAGCUAAGUAUAUUAACUAUUUGGUUACUUUAAUAUUAGAAUUUUGAGGUUUUAUCCACAUUGUGUAAAUUGGUUAUUGUUGGUUAAAAUGAUUUUCUCUGGAUUUCCAUCGGAAAUAAUUGUGUGAUUAAAAUGAAUUUCAAAUAACGUAAUUUUGCUAGUUCUGUAAAACUAAUAAGUUUGUCCCGCCAUUUUUAUUAUUGGUGGAAUAAGAUUACAAAGGCGGUAGUAAUGAACUUUGGUUAAUAAUGUUAAAAUAAAUACAGUUACAUAACCUAAAAUAAAAACCACGUGUUAAUAAUUUAUUAACUUUGUUGAUUAUUUGAUUAUAUCAUAAGAGAUGGAGUCAGUUAACCUAAAAUAAAACCACGUGUUGAUAAUUUAUUUGCUUUGUUGAUUAUUUGAUUAUAUCAUAAGAGAUGAAAUUACCUAACCUAAAUUAGCACACGUGGUGAUAGUGUACUUGCUUUGUUGAAUGUUCUGAUUAUAUUAGUGUUAUUAUAUGAAUUGCAUUUACCUGUUGAAAUGAGAAUUUUGAAUAGAUGAAUUUAAUGAAGUGGAACAUAAAGGAAAAUAUGGGAGAAAUAUAUAAUUAAUUACUGGU